AUUGAACGCUGGCGGCAGGCCUAACACAUGCAAGUCGAGCGAGCGGCGGACGGGUGAGUAAUGUCUGGGAAACUGCCUGCUGGAGGGGGAUAACUACUGGAAACGGUAGCUAAUACCGCAUACCAUCAGAUGUGCCCAGAUGGGAUUAGCUAGUAUGUUGGGUAAUGGCUCACCUAGGCGACCAUCCCUAGCUGGUCUGACAGGAUGACCAGCCACACUGGAACUGAUACACGGUCCAGAGUCCUACGGGAGGCAGCAGUGGGGAAUAUUGCACAAUGGGCGCAAGCCUGAUGCAGCCAUGCCGCGUGUGUGAUUAAGGCCUUCGGGUUGUAAAGCACUUUCAGCGAGGAGGCGUUACUCUCAGAAGAAGCACCGUCUAACUCCGUGCCAGCAGCCGCGGUAAUAC
rnacentral:rRNA from 1 species